rnacentral:rRNA from 1 species
GACGAACGCUGGCGGCGUGCUUAACACAUGCAAGUCGAACGGAAAGGCCCUGCUUGUGUGGGGUGCUCGAGUGGCGAACGGGUGAGUAACACGUGAGUAACCUGCCCUUGACUUUGGGAUAACUUCAGGAAACUGGGGCUAAUACCGGAUAGGAGCUCCUGCUGCAUGGUGGGGGUUGGAAAGUUUCGGCGGUUGGGGAUGGACUCGCGGCUUAUCAGCUUGUUGGUGGGGUAGUGGCUUACCAAGGCUUUGACGGGUAGCCGGCCUGAGAGGGUGACCGGCCACACUGGGACUGAGAUACGGCCCAGACUCCUACGGGAGGCAGCAGUGGGGAAUAUUGCACAAUGGGCGGAAGCCUGAUGCAGCAACGCCGCGUGCGGGAUGACGGCCUUCGGGUUGUAAACCGCUUUCGCCUGUGACGAAGCGUGAGUGACGGUAAUGGGUAAAGAAGCACCGGCUAACUACGUG